rnacentral:rRNA from 1 species
AGCAGCCGCGGUAAUUCCAGCUCCAAUAGCGUAUAUUAAAGUUGUCGCAGUUAAAAAGCUCGUAGUUGAAUUUCGGGGUUCUACCGUUGGUCGGGCUUUGUCUGUACUGAUGUGUAGAAUUUCUACCUUCUGGGGAACCAUCAUGUUAUUAAUUUAGCGUGGUGGGAAACCAGGACCUUUACCUUGAAAAAAUUAGAGUGUUCAAAGCAGGCUUAUGUCUGAAUACAUUAGCAUGGAAUAAUAGAAUAGGACGGUGGUCCUGUUUUGUUGGUUUCUGAAUCACCGUAAUGAUUAAUAGGGAUAGUUGGGGGCAUUAGUAUUCAAUUGUCAGAGGUGAAAUUCUUGGAUUUAUUGAAGACUAACUACUGCGAAAGCAUUUGCCAAGGAUGUUUUCAUUAAUCAAGAACGAAAGUUAGGGGAUCGAAGACGAUCAGAUACCGUCGUAGUCUUAACCAUAAACUAUGCCGACUAGGGAUCGGAUGAUGUUAAUUUUUUAAUGACUCAUUCGGCGCCUUACGGG